GUGCCAGCAGCCGCGGUAAAACGUAGGACGCGAGCGUUAUCCGGAGUUACUGGGCGUAAAGGGUGGGCAGGCGGCCGUGUCAGAUGGGUGUGAAAUCUCCCGGCUCAACCGGGAGGGGCCACUCGUGACUGCACGGCUGGAGGGCAGCAGAGGCGCGUGGAAUUCCGGGUGGAGUGGUGAAAUGCGUAGAGAUCCGGAGGAACACCAGAGGCGAAGGCGGCGCGCUGGGCUGCACCUGACGCUGAACCACGAAAGCCAGGGUAGCGAACGGGAUUAGAAACCCCCGUAGUCC
rnacentral:rRNA from 1 species